GACGAACGCUGGCGGCGUGCUUAACACAUGCAAGUCGAGCGGUAAGGCCCUUUCGGGGGUACACGAGCGGCGAACGGGUGAGUAACACGUGGGUGACCUGCCCUUAGCUCUGGGAUAAGCCUGGGAAACUGGGUCUAAGUACCGGAUAUGACUCCAUGACGCAUGUUGUGGGGUGGAAAGCCUUGUGCGGCUAGGGGAUGGGGCCCGCGGCCUAUCAGCUUGUUGGUGGGGUNAUGGGCUACCAAGGCGACGACGGGUAGCCGGCCUGAGAGGGCGACCGGCCACACUGGGACUGAGACACGGCCCAGACUCCUACGGGAGGCAGCAGUGGGGAAUCUUGCGCAAUGGGCGAAAGCCUG
rnacentral:rRNA from 1 species